rnacentral:lncRNA from 1 species
CCUUCCAUUCCCAAUUCCGUUCAUCCCCUCUUUCUUCCUUUUUCUCCGCCCCUCUCCCUUUGUUUUCUCCCUAAUUUUUCUUCGUCUAUCUCCCUUUUUUUCUUCGUCCCUCUUCCUCUUCAUCUCCCUUUUUUCUUCAUUUUGUUCUUUAUUCAUCUCCCUCUUUUGAUGAAAGAAAUUAACAUCAAAAUUAAACCCAGAAGCUAUUCAUCACCCAACUUCAUAAUCGACUGCAAAUCUUCACAAUCAAACCACAAAGCAAGAAAGAGAUUGAAAUUUUAGGAGUUGGGAGCGGGUUGCAUGUGCGAUUGGCUUGAAAGUGGAAGAUGGAUAAGGUCUGCAAUCAAGGAGUUUCAUGUUUUCUGGGUUCGGUUUGCCUUCAAUCAAUCCCAUCGUUGAUUUAAGCUUAUAACCACUGCAUAUUUUUUUAUUUUUUUUUGUGUUUUAUGGUUUCUGGGUUCUAUUUUGCAGGUUGGAUCUGAAUUUGAAAAAUGGAACGAUUGCAUUUUUUUUUUUUGAAUUUUGCGGGAUAUGGGUUUGAAAAUGGUUGUGGAAGCAAGGAAGAAGAUGGAGCAGGGUAAGGAGGGAGCAAUGUGCGACAAGUAGGACGAGCGACGUUAGGUCUUGGACGACUGACACUCUCGCGAUUUUCUCUCUAUCAGAAGAGGGCUUACGAAUCCGGCCGAAAUUGGGGAUCCUCGUUAAUAACUCGUAACAAGGUGGUUAAUCCGAGCGAGUCCGACCUAAGCUCAUUAAACCUAAUCCGGGUGCAGACCAAACAAGGGACUACAGUCUAGUCCAGUCCAGUCCUCUCUAAUCCGGUCAAACAAACAGGCCCUUAUAUUCCUAUUAUGAGUAGAUUACCUAUUAAAUAUUGUAAUCCUAAAGGGUAAGGAAUUAACCUUCCCUACCACUAUAAAUAAAGGCACAAUGAAGUGGAAUAGAACACACCCACAAUUAC